rnacentral:rRNA from 1 species
UACGGGGGGGGCAAGCGUUGUUCGGAAUUACUGGGCGUAAAGGGCGCGUAGGCGGCCUGCUAAGUCGAACGUGAAAUCCCUGGGCUCAACCCAGGAACUGCGUCUGAUACUGGUUGGCUUGAAUCCGGGAGAGGGAUGUGGAAUUCCAGGUGUAGCGGUGAAAUGCGUAGAUAUCUGGAGGAACACCGGUGGCGAAGGCGGCAUCCUGGACCGGUAUUGACGCUGAUGCGCGAAAGCCAGGGGAGCAAACGGG